rnacentral:rRNA from 1 species
GUUGGUGGGGUAAUGGCCUACCAAGUCUACGAUCUAUAGCUGGUUUUAGAGGAUGAUCAGCAACACUGGGACUGAGAUACGGCCCAGACUCCUACGGGAGGCAGCAGUGGGGAAUCUUAGACAAUGGGCGCAAGCCUGAUCUAGCCAUGCCGCGUGUGUGAUGAAGGUCUUAGGAUCGUAAAGCACUUUCGCCAGGGAUGAUAAUGACAGUACCUGGUAAAGAAACCCCGGCUAACUCCGUGCCAGCAGCCGCGGUAAUACGGAGGGGGUUAGCGUUGUUCGGAAUUACUGGGCGUAAAGCGUACGUAGGCGGAUCAGAAAGUAUAGGGUGAAAUCCCAGGGCUCAACCCUGGAACUGCCUUGUAAACUCCUGGUCUUGAGUUCGAGAGANGUGAGUGGAAUUCCAAGUGUAGAGGUGAAAUUCGUAGAUAUUUGGAGGAACACCAG